rnacentral:rRNA from 1 species
GACGAACGCUGGCGGCGUGCUUAACACAUGCAAGUCGAACGGUGAAGCUCCAGCUUGCUGGAGUGGAUCAGUGGCGAACGGGUGAGUAACACGUGAGCAACCUGCCCCUGACUCUGGAAUACGCGCUGGAAACGGCGUCUAAUACUGGAUACGAGAAGGGUCCGCAUGGGCACUUUCUGGAAAGUUUUUCGGUUGGGGAUGGGCUCGCGGCCUAUCAGCUUGUUGGUGAGGUCAUGGCUCACCAAGGCGACGACGGGUAGCCGGCCUGAGAGGGCGACCGGCCACACUGGGACUGAGACACGGCCCAGACUCCUACGGGAGGCAGCAGUGGGGAAUAUUGCACAAUGGGCGAAAGCCUGAUGCAGCGACGCCGCGUGAGGGAUGACGGCCUUCGGGUUGUAAACCUCUUUCAGCAGGGAAGAAGCGAAAGUGACGGUACCUGCAGAAGAAGCACCGGCUAACUACGUG